rnacentral:rRNA from 1 species
AACUCUAAAUGGGUAUGAAGCCAGGGUUGCUUGACUCUGUACCCAGGCGUUGAAUGUUUGAGCUCCAAGUGGGCCAUUUUUGGUAAGCAGAACUGGCGAUGUGGGAUGAACCAAACGUGGAUUUAAGGUGCCAAAGUUCCCGCUCAUUAGACCCCAUAAAAGGUGUUGGUUGAUAUAGACAGCAGGACGGUGGCCAUGGAAGUCGGAAUCCGCUAAGGAGUGUGUAACAACUCACCUGCCGAAUCAACUAGCCCUGAAAAUGGAUGGCGCUGGAGCGGGCCACCUAUACUCCACCGUCAUUGGCUUGUACACGUGCUUGUCGCGUAGUCUGGCCAUGACGUGUAGGAGGGUCGUGGUGGUUGCGUUGAAGGCUUUGGGCGUGGGCCCGGCCGGAGCUUCCACCAGUGCAGAUCUUGGUGGUAGUAGCAAAUAUUCAAGUGAGAUCCUUGAAGACUGAAGUGGAGAAGGGUUCCACGUGAACAGCAGUUGAAUGUGGGUCAGCCGAUCCUAAGGCACCGGCUAACGCCGUAACACACUACGGAUGACGACUUUUCUGUGCUUGCGCAGUUGGUCCAUCCGGUUGCCGAAAGGGAAGUGGGUUAACAUUCCCACGCCAGGCUAGGGAAAUGACGGUUCGCAAGAGCUGUUUUGCGCGGUAACGCAAAUGAACUCGCAGACGUCGUGUGGAGUCCGAGCCAGAGUUCUCUUUUCUGGUUUAGGGUGUGCGUGCCUGGAAGUGGCUCAGCCUGAGAUAGGGAUGUGCGCCCGUAAGCACCGCGGUUCCUGUGUGUCUCGUGCGCUCCACACGGCCCUUGAAAUGCGAGGGAGCUAUUUGAUCUCCUGCCUGAUCGUACCGAUAUCCGCAGCAGGUCUCCAAGGUGAACAGCCUCUAGUCGAUAGAAUAAUGUAGGUAAGGGAAGUCGGCAAAUUAGAUUCGUAACUUCGGGAAAAGAAUUGGCUCUAAAGGUCGGGUCAGCCGGGCUGUUGCGUGAAACAGGCGGCUUUUGCCCGUGGCUGUGUGCUGUUCUUUCGGGGAUGGUGCGUGGACUAGUGGUGAGAGCUGCUUGUGGAGCGCUUCAGCUGCGUGUAUGCUCGUCAGGGUAUGCACUUCGGUUGGCGCUGAACGACCAGUUUAGAACUGGCACGAACUCGGGGAAUCCGACUGUCUAAUUAAAACAGAGGAGACGGAUGGUCCUUGUGGACGUUGACCGUGUCUGAUUUCUGCCCAGUGCUCUGAAUGUUAAGCCAAGGAAACUUGAUUAAGCGCGGGUAAACGGCGGGAGUAACUAUGACUCUCUUAAGGUAGCCAAAUGCCUCGUCGGCUAACUACCGACGCGCACGAAUGGAUCAACGAGAUUCCCACUGUCCCUAUCUACUAUCUAGCGAAACCACAGCCAAGGGAACGGGCUUGGCAAAUUUAGCGGGGAAAGAAGACCCUGUUGAGCUUGACUCUAGUCUGACUUUGUGAAGAAUCAUGAGAGGUGUAGCAUAAGUGGGAGCCGCAAGGCGCCAGUGAAAUACCACUACUUUCAUCGAUUCCUUACUUAAUCGGUAAAACGGGAGUGCGCCCGAAAGGGUGUCCAUUUUGGUGUUAAGUCGGGCCACCCGGUGGCCCGGCGACCCGCGCCGAUGACAGUGUCAGGCGGGGAGUUUGACUGGGGC